UAACACCAGAGCCACAAGUGGCAAUCGCGAUUAUUGGGCCUAAAGGGUUCGUAGCUGACCAAAUAAAUCUUUUGUGAAAUUGUUAGACUUAAUCUAACAGUAUGCAAAAGAAACUGUUUGGUUUGAGACCAGGAAGAGGCAGAAGUAUUCUAAGGGGAGUGGUAAAAUAUUAUAAUCCUUAGAAGACUACCUAUGGCGAAGGCAUCUGUCUAGAAUGGGUCUGACAGUGAGGAACGAAGGCUAGGGGAGCGAUCCGGAUUAGAUACCCGAGUAGUCCUAGCUGUAAACGCUGUGAACUAUGUGGUGCAUAUUUUUCGUGAAUAUGCAGCGCCGUAGCGAAGGUGUUAAGUUCACCGCCUGGGAAGUACGGCCGCAAGACUG
rnacentral:rRNA from 1 species